CCACUUCGAUUUUGGUUUUCUCCUGUCUUGACUCUGAGAAAACCACGCAGAUUUCAAUCUCAAAAUCGUCUCUCUGAUGAACACUGGACUCUCUGCAGAGAUAAUCGCCGAGGGCUAUUGAGUGAUGUCGGAGGAGAAGGCGAGGUCUAUCGAGAGAGGAGGAGGAAAUAUUCCCAGUUCGGAGAUGAAUCCGCAUUCGAGCAGCAACGAGCACAUCACGUUCGCCAAGAGGAGGAACUUGCUGAUGAAGAAGGCCAAGGAUCUAUAGCAACUCUGGGACGCCGAGGUUGGAAUCAUCAUCUUCUCCUGCACUGCACAGCUCUAUGAGUACUCGAGCUCAAGCAUGGACUCGGUCAUCGAACGCUACAACAAUCUGAAGCGGGAAGCCCAACCGAAAUUGGAUCGGUCACCCAUCGAUGCCAAGACCCGCGAAUGUUAAAUUAAUUAUCUGGGAGUUUCCUUCAAAUACCAUUUGCAGGUUUUAGAAGAAGAGAUAGCAAACUUGAUUCGUCGACUCCAAGGUCCGCAAUAGUACCACAGGUACAUCAGUGUCACAACCCAAGAGUUUCCCACAAUAGUGUGAAUGCUAGUAUCCUGAUGGUUAAACACCAAUUAUGUAUCUGUGAAGUAGAAAGAAGUGAAUGAAUUAAAGUCGAGAGGCAUUUGGAUGAGUGCAAAGUCUUUAUUCUUGUCAAGAACUCCUUGGCUUGCCUCAUUAAAGCACAUUUUAGUAUUUUCAUUUUCAAGAACCAAUCAGUAUACCUUAAUUAAUAGCUUCUAUCCAGAUAGGAAACUAGGAUGAUACCAUAAAGUUAGCAAAAUUUUGCUCUAAGUUAUACCAUGGUUAGGGAAAAAUGCCCUUUGCAGUCACGCUAUUUAAUUUCUUGUAACAUUUCUCUUUGAUACAAGCCUAGAUAAAGUUCUCUUCUAAGACUAUAGUUCUCACAUUUAUGUUCAUACUCACAUCAACUUAAUCUCUACCCCUCUAAUUUGUUGGUGCUUUUGUUACCCACUUCAAUUCUCAUAAAUGUUCACUAUUCUCCUCUGUAGGCUUACAUGGAUUGAUAAUAGUAGGGAAAAUUAUCAAAAUAGUCAUAAAUCUAUUGCAAUGUUUCUAAUU